rfam:Coprococcus comes CAG:19 genomic scaffold, scf74
GGGCUUGUACUGGUUUCGACGGGGGCACGGAAGUCAAGGAAGCCAUCCGUAGCGGGACACUACGUUAAAAGUUCCAACUAAAUAUAAACGCAGACGAAAAUUUAGCGUACGCUGCCUAGUUGCAGCAGUCGGCCUUGAGUCUCUCAUCGCUUAAGUAACCGGCUUCGACCAGAUGAGGCACUUCGUUUCCAAAGCUUUGAGGGAAUGGAAGAAUUUAUGAAGCUACUAAAGUAAGCAGCCUGUUGUUCGGCGGCUUAUGGAGGAAAUGUCAAAAGAAUGACUGUGAUGGGAGAUGCCUUUAUGGAAGAGCUUUCGGACAGGGGUUCGAUUCCCCUCAGGUCCAUAC